AGUGAACGCUGGCGGUAGGCCUAACACAUGCAAGUCGAACGGCAGCACAGUAAGAGCUUGCUCUUACGGGUGGCGAGUGGCGGACGGGUGAGGAAUACAUCGGAAUCUACUUUUUCGUGGGGGAUAACGUAGGGAAACUUACGCUAAUACCGCAUACGACCUACGGGUGAAAGCAGGGGAUCUUCGGACCUUGCGCGAUUGAAUGAGCCGAUGUCGGAUUAGCUAGUUGGCGGGGUAAAGGCCCACCAAGGCGACGAUCCGUAGCUGGUCUGAGAGGAUGAGAGGCCACAGUGGAAAUGAGACAAGGGCAAGAGGCAGACGGGAGGCAGGAGGAGGGAAGAGGGCAAAAGGGGAGAAAGCAGGAAGGAGCAAGGAAGAGGGAGUGAAGAAGGGAUGCGGAUCGUAAAACGCUGUUAGUGGGGAAGAACAAAAGGGAAAGUAAAUAGGCAGGGCUGGAAGGGACAUAAUCAGAAAGAAAGGGCGAAAUACGUG
rnacentral:rRNA from 1 species